rnacentral:rRNA from 1 species
GACGAACGCUGGCGGCGUGCCUAAUACAUGCAAGUAGAACGCUGAAGGAGGAGCUUGCUCUUCUGGAUGAGUUGCGAACGGGUGAGUAACGCGUAGGUAACCUGCCUGGUAGCGGGGGAUAACUAUUGGAAACGAUAGCUAAUACCGCAUAAUAGUAGAUGUUGCAUGACAUUUACUUAAAAGGUGCAAUUGCAUCACUACCAGAUGGACCUGCGUUGUAUUAGCUAGUUGGUGGGGUAACGGCUCACCAAGGCGACGAUACAUAGCCGACCUGAGAGGGUGAUCGGCCACACUGGGACUGAGACACGGCCCAGACUCCUACGGGGGGCAGCAGUAGGGAAUCUUCGGCAAUGGACGGAAGUCUGACCGAGCAACGCCGCGUGAGUGAAGAAGGUUUUCGGAUCGUAAAGCUCUGUUGUAAGAGAAGAACGAGUGUGAGAGUGGAAAGUUCACACUGUGACGGUAUCUACCAGAAAGGAC